rnacentral:rRNA from 1 species
CCUACGGGAGGCAGCAGUGGGGAAUAUUGCACAAUGGGCGCAACCCUGAUGCAGCCACGCCGCGUGAGUGAAGAAGUAUUUCGGUAUGUAAAGCUCUAUCAGCAGGGAGGAAGAAAGACGGUACCUUACUGAUAAGCCGCGGCUAACUACGUGCCAGCAGCCGGGGUAAUACGUAGGGGGCGCGCGUUAUCCGGAUUUACUGGGUGUAAAGGGAGCGUAGACGGCUGUGCAAGGCUGAAGUGAAAGCCCGUGGCUCAAACGCGGAACUGCUUUGGAAACUGUAUAGCUUGAGUACGGGUGAGGCAGGCGGAAUGCGUGGUGUAGCGGUGAAAUGCGUAGAUAUUAGGAGGAACACCAGUGGCGAAGGCAGCAUGCGGGAGAGAAACUGACGUUGAGGCUCGAAAGCGUGGGUAGCAAACAGGAUUAGAUACCCGUGUAGUC